GGCGAACGCUGGCGGCGUGCUUAACACAUGCAAGUCGAGCGAGGCCCACCUUUCGGGGUGGUGUCCUAGCGGCGAACGGGUGAGUAACACGUGGGCAACCUGCCCUCAGCUCUGGGAUAACUCCAAGAAAUUGGGGCUAAUACCGGAUAUGACUGCUGACCGCAUGGUCUGGUGGUGGAAAGAUUUAUCGGCUGGGGAUGGGCCCGCGGCCUAUCAGCUUGUUGGUGGGGUAGGGCCUACCAAGGCGACGACGGGUAGCCGGCCUGAGAGGGUGACCGGCCACACUGGGACUGAGACACGGCCCAGACUCCUACGGGAGGCAGCAGUGGGGAAUAUUGCGCAAUGGGCGAAAGCCUGACGCAGCGACGCCGCGUGGGGAUGACGGCCUGUGU
rnacentral:rRNA from 1 species